rnacentral:rRNA from 1 species
AUCUGGUAAAGCGAAUGAUUAGAGGCCUUAGGGUCGAAACGAUCUUAACCUAUUCUCAAACUUUAAAUGGGUAAGAACCUUAACUUUCUUGAUAUGAAGUUUAAGGUUAUGAUAUAAUGUGCCCAGUGGGCCACUUUUGGUAAGCAGAACUGGCGCUGUGGGAUGAACCAAACGUAAUGUUACGGUGCCCAAAUUAACAACUCAUGCAGAUACCAUGAAAGGCGUUGGUUGCUUAAAACAGCAGGACGGUGAUCAUGGAAGUCGAAAUCCGCUAAGGAGUGUGUAACAACUCACCUGCCGAAGCAACUAGCCCUUAAAAUGGAUGGCGCUUAAGUUGUAUACCUAUACAUUACCGCUAAAGUAGAUGAUUUAUAUUACUUGUAAUAUAAAUUUUGAAACUUUAGUGAGUAGGAAGGUACAAUGGUAUGCGUAGAAGUGUUUGGCGUAAGCCUGCAUGGAGCUGCCAUUGGUACAGAUCUUGGUGGUAGUAGCAAAUAAUCGAAUGAGACCUUGGAGGACUGAAGUGGAGAAGGGUUUCGUGUGAACAGUGGUUGAUCACGAGUUAGUCGGUCCUAAGUUCAAGGCGAAAGCCGAAAAUUUUCAAGUAAUAAAAUGACUAUAUAUUACAAAAAUGCCAAUUAAUAUACUUGAAUAAUUUUGAACGAAAGGGAAUACGGUUCCAAUUCCGUAACCUGUUGAGUAUCCGUUUGUUAUUAAAUAUGGGCCUCGUGCUCAUCCUGGCAACAGGAACGACCAUAAAGAAGCCGUCGAGAGAUAUCGGAAGAGUUUUCUUUUCUGUUUUAUAGCCGUACUACCAUGGAAGUCUUUCGCAGAGAGAUAUGGUAGAUGGGCUAGAAGAGCAUGACAUAUACUGUUGUGUCGAUAUUUUCUCCUCGGACCUUGAAAAUUUAUGGUGGGGAUACGCAAACUUCUCAACAGGCCGUACCAAUAUCCGCAGCUGGUCUCCAAGGUGAAGAGUCUCUAGUCGAUAGAAUAAUGUAGGUAAGGGAAGUCGGCAAAUUAGAUCCGUAACUUCGGGAUAAGGAUUGGCUCUGAAGAUUGAGAUAGUCGGGCUUGAUUGGGAAACAAUAACAUGGUUUAUGUGCUCGUUCUGGGUAAAUAGAGUUUCUAUCAUUUAUGUUAGUUGCUUGUUCCCCGGAUAGUUUAGUUACGUAGCCAAUUGUGGAACUUUCUUGCUAAAAUUUUUAAGAAUACUAGUUGGGUCAAACCAAUUAGUUCUUAUUAAUUAUAACGAUUAUCAAUUAACAAUCAAUUCAGAACUGGCACGGACUUGGGGAAUCCGACUGUCUAAUUAAAACAAAGCAUUGUGAUGGCCCUAGCGGGUGUUGACACAAUGUGAUUUCUGCCCAGUGCUCUGAAUGUCAAAGUGAAGAAAUUCAAGUAAGCGCGGGUCAACGGCGGGAGUAACUAUGACUCUCUUAAGGUAGCCAAAUGCCUCGUCAUCUAAUUAGUGACGCGCAUGAAUGGAUUAACGAGAUUCCUACUGUCCCUAUCUACUAUCUAGCGAAACCACAGCCAAGGGAACGGGCUUGGAAUAAUUAGCGGGGAAAGAAGACCCUUUUGAGCUUGACUCUAAUCUGGCAGUGUAAGGAGACAUAAGAGGUGUAGAAUAAGUGGGAGAUAUUAGACUUCGGUUUGGUAUCGACAAUGAAAUACCACUACUCUUAUUGUUUCCUUACUUACUUGAUUAAAUGGAACGUGUAUCAUUUCCUAGCCAUUAUACGGAUAUAUUUAUUAUAUCUUAUGGUAUUGGGUUUUGAUGCAAGCUUCUUGAUCAAAGUAUCACGAGUUUGUUAUAUAAUCGCAAACAAAUUCUUUAAUGAGACGAUGCAUUUAUGUAUUUUUGAUUUGAAAAUUUGGUAUAACUCCAAUUACUCAGGUAUGAUCCAAUUCAAGGACAUUGCCAGGUAGGGAGUUUGACUGGGGCGGUACAUCUCUCAAAUAAUAACGGAGGUGUCCCAAGGCCAGCUCAGUGCGGACAGAAACCACACAUAGAGCAAAAGGGCAAAUGCUGACUUGAUCUCGGUGUUCAGUACACACAGGGACAGCAAAAGCUCGGCCUAUCGAUCCUUUUGGUUUAAAGAGUUUUUAACAAGAGGUGUCAGAAAAGUUACCAUAGGGAUAACUGGCUUGUGGCGGCCAAGCGUUCAUAGCGACGUCGCUUUUUGAUCCUUCGAUGUCGGCUCUUCCUAUCAUUGUGAAGCAAAAUUCACCAAGCGUUGGAUUGUUCACCCAUGCAAGGGAACGUGAGCUGGGUUUAGACCGUCGUGAGACAGGUUAGUUUUACCCUACUAAUGACAAAACGUUGUUGCGACAGCAUUCCUGCGUAGUACGAGAGGAACCGCAGGUACGGACCAAUGGCACAAUACUUGUUCGAGCGAACAGUGGUAUGACGCUACGUCCGUUGGAUUAUGCCUGAACGCCUCUAAGGUCGUAUCCGUGCUGGACUGCAAUGAUAAAUAAGGGGCAAUUUGCAUUGUAUGGCUUCUAAACCAUUUAAAGUUUGU